UGCUGCAUGGCUGUCGUCAGCUCGUGUCGUGAGAUGUUGGGUUAAGUCCCGCAACGAGCGCAACCCUUGUCGUUAAUUGCCAUCAUUCAGUUGGGCACUUUAACGAGACUGCCGGUGACAAACCGGAGGAAGGUGGGGAUGACGUCAAGUCCUCAUGGCCCUUAUGGGUAGGGCUUCACACGUCAUACAAUGGUCGGUACAAAGGGUUGCCAACCCGCGAGGGGGAGCUAAUCCCAGAAAGCCGAUCGUAGUCCGGAUCGUAGGCUGCAACUCGCCUGCGUGAAGUCGGAAUCGCUAGUAAUCGUGGAUCAGCAUGUCACGGUGAAUACGUUCCCGGGUCUUGUACACUCCGCCCGUCACACCAUGGGAGCGGGUUCCGCCAGAAGUAGGUAGCCUAACCGCAAGGAGGGCGCUUACCACGGCGGGGUUCGUGACUGGGGUGAAGUCGUAACAAGGUAACC
rnacentral:rRNA from 1 species